rnacentral:ribozyme from 14 species
UUUUUGAUCAAUUUUUUUUUUUUUUUUUUGCGCCUCCUCCUCCUCCACUCUGAGUGAGCGCUCCUCCGUUUCAGCAGAAAUAGGAGAGAAAUUGAGGUGUGUCGCACCUCUAUAUUUCAAAAAAGUUGUUG